UGUUUUGUAAAAUAUUUGCAUAUUGUCUCCCUUUUCCUUCCAAAAUGCAUACCAAAUAUACUUUGCUAAAAGGACACACAAAGGAGUCUCCUGGGAUCUUAGGAGUCUGUUGGGAUUCCCUUUUGUGCUCUCAUAAUGUCAAUACUGACAUAAAAGGAAUUUUCAGGUAAAGGUAGAAGUAUAUCAUAGUGCUUUGUCCAGCCAGCAUAAAACUAAUCAGUUCAGCAUCUAGGAAAUGUAUCCUUGUUCAGGCUUUCAAGGAUGGGUCUCUAUCAAUGACAGACUAGUAUAGUAGUAGAUUACUGGGGUCAAAAGACUUUGAUUCUAGUUCUGGCUUGGUAAUUAAGCAGUGAUAGAUUUUUUGGUAAUUACUGAAGGCUCUUAUUUUCUUCAUCUAUAAAAUAGAAAAAAAUGACAAGGUACACAUACCUCAAGAGGUUGUUCUGAGAAUCCACUGAGGUUCUCUCCAGAUGUGAAGAAAAUUGCUUACUUGGUUGAGAUGCUUGUACUUACUUGAUGAAGUACUUGAUUCCAUCUGCUGUGUAAGCUUCCUCCCACCCAUAAGAUCACUUCAUUCAUCACUGACAAGACCCUCACCUGGAGGGAAGAAUCUGGUGACUGUAUCUAAGAACUUUGCUUUAAUGACAAAAAUGCUCAGCAAUGCCAGGAUUUCCAAUCAAUAAGACAAAGGCAGCUAAAAGUUAAGUAGGAAGUUAUGUGACUACAAUUUUUGUCUGCUACAUAAUUUGUCUGACAAGUACAAUUGUAUCUGUUUCUAAUUUCUUAAGUUACAGAUAUGUUUUAAUAAAAAGGAAAACUGGACACUUUCAAGACAGUAUCUUUCAAUCUACAGGAUCAUUUGAAACUCUAAAUUAACAUUGGAUUACCAUAUUCCCUGUGCCAUCAGAAUAGAAUUUCUGCCUUAUUUCCUUACAAUUAUUAAGCAAGAAUUAUAAUUUUAUAACAGACUUAUAAAGGUACUAAUUCAUAGACAUUUAAGUCACAAUGGUUAUUCAAUGACUACAGCCAUAAAGAUAUCCCUGGAUAUUAAAUAAUAUCUAUAACUUAUUUUUUAAAAUGUUCUGUUCUGAGAAAAUAAGUGUUUCUUUUUAGGAGAUUGAAUAGUUUCUUAUAUUUCAUAUAGAUUUCAUAUAAUCUAUUAUAUAAAAGACAGAUUUAGAGACUAAACUGAUAGUAAUUAAUCUCUCAGUGAUAGUUCAGUAAUAGAAAACAAUUACUGUCCAAUUACAAACUAAAAAGCACAAAUAGCCUACCUUAUACAAAAUAGCACUUAUGAUUUCCACAAGCUUAUUGAUGGACUCAAUUUUCCAUGAAUAAAUGUUUCAUUUCUUCAUAAG